AUAUGGUCAAGCGAAUAAGCGCACACGGUGGAUGCCUUGGCGGUCAGAGGCGAUGAAGGACGUGGCAGCCUGCGAAAAGUAUCGGGGAGCUGGCAACAAGCUUUGAUCCGGUAAUGUCCGAAUGGGGAAACCCACCCGCUUGCGGGUAUCCUGCAGUGAAUACAUAGCUGCUGGAAGCGAACCUGGUGAACUGAAAUAUCUAAGUAACCAGAGGAAAAGAAAUCAACCGAGAUUCCCUGAGUAGCGACGAGCGAACGGGGACUAGCCCUUAAGCUGGAAUGGUUCUAGAAAAACAGCCUGGAACGGCUGGCCAUAGAAGGUGAUAGCCCUGUAUUUAAAAGGGCCACUCCAGUGAAGACGAGUAGGGCGGGGCACGUGAAACCCUGUCUGAACAUGGGGGGACCAUCCUCCAAGGCUAAAUACUACUGACCGACCGAUAGUGAACCAGUACCGUGAGGGAAAGGCGAAAAGAACCCCGGAGAGGGGAGUGAAAUAGAUCCUGAAACCGUGUGCGUACAAGCAGUAGGAGCUCGAAAGAGUGACUGCGUACCUUUUGUAUAAUGGGUCAGCGACUUACUGUUCGUGGCAAGCUUAACCGUAUAGGGGAGGCGAAGGGAAACCGAGUCUGAUAAGGGCGCAUAGUCGCGGGCAGUAGACCCGAAACCGGGUGAUCUAGUCAUGGCCAGGGUGAAGGUGCCGUAACAGGUACUGGAGGCCCGAACCCACGUCUGUUGCAAAAGACGGGGAUGAGCUGUGAUUAGGAGUGAAAAGCUAAUCGAACCCGGAGAUAGCUGGUUCUCCUCGAAAGCUAUUUAGGUAGCGCCUCAUAUGUAUCCUCUCGGGGGUAGAGCACUGUUAUGGCUAGGGGGUCAUCGCGACUUACCAAACCAUUGCAAACUCCGAAUACCGAGACGGACUGUAUGGGAGACACACGGCGGGUGCUAACGUCCGUCGUGAAAAGGGAAACAACCCAGACCCACAGCUAAGGUCCCAAAUUCACUGCUAAGUGGAAAACCAUGUGGAAAGGCACAGACAGCCAGGAGGUUGGCUUAGAAGCAGCCACCCUUUAAAGAAAGCGUAAUAGCUCACUGGUCGAGUCGGUCUGCGGGGAAGAUUUAACGGGGCUAAGCAGUGAACCGAAGCUUGGGGUGUGCAUAUUUAUAUGUACGCGGUAGAGGAGCGUUCCGUAAGCCGUUGAAGGUGGAUUGAGAAGUCUGCUGGAGGUAUCGGAAGUGCGAAUGCUGACAUGAGUAACGAUAAUGCGGGUGAAAAACCCGCACGCCGAAAGCCCAAGGUUUCCUUGCGCAACGUUAAUCGGCGCAGGGUGAGUCGGCCCCUAAGGCGAGGACGAAAGUCGUAGUCGAUGGGAAGCAGGUUAAUAUUCCUGCACCUCGCGUAAGUGCGAUGGAGGGACGGAGAAGGUUAGGUGUACCCGGCGUUGGUUGUCCGGGGGAAAGGCGGUAGGUUUGGAUCUUUGGCAAAUCCGGGAUCCUUUAAGACCGAGCACCGAGACGAGCCUUUAAGGCAAAGUCACUGAUACCACGCUUCCAGGAAAAGCUCCUAAGCUUCAGCUUACGCAGACCGUACCGUAAACCGACACAGGUGGGUAGGAUGAGAAUUCUCAGGCGCUUGAGAGAACUCGGGUGAAGGAACUAGGCAACAUGGCACCGUAACUUCGGGAGAAGGUGCGCCCUUUUUGGUGGCUCAUGCGAGCUAUAGCUGAAGAGGGCCGCAGUAACCAGGCCGCUGCGACUGUUUAUCAAAAACACAGCACUCUGCAAACACGAAAGUGGACGUAUAGGGUGUGACGCCUGCCCGGUGCUGGAAGGUUAAUUGAUGGGGUCAGCCGCAAGGCGAAGCUCUUGAUCGAAGCCCCAGUAAACGGCGGCCGUAACUAUAACGGUCCUAAGGUAGCGAAAUUCCUUGUCGGGUAAGUUCCGACCUGCACGAAUGGCGUAACGACAGCGGCGCUGUCUCCACCCGAGACUCAGUGAAAUUGAAAUCGCUGUGAAGAUGCAGCGUUCCCGUGGCAAGACGGAAAGACCCCGUGAACCUUUACUAUAGCUUUACACUGAACGUUGAGUUCGUCUGUGUAGGAUAGGUGGGAGGCUAUGAAACUGUGGCGCUAGCUGCAGUGGAGCCAUCCUUGAAAUACCACCCUGUCGUGCUUGACGUUCUAACCUAGGUCCAUAAUCUGGAUCGGGGACCGUGUAUGGUGGGUAGUUUGACUGGGGCGGUCUCCUCCUAAAGAGUAACGGAGGAGCUCGAAGGUACGCUCAGCGCGGUCGGACAUCGCGCACUGUGUGCAAAGGCAUAAGCGUGCUUGACUGCAAGAUCGACGGAUCAAGCAGGUAGGAAACUAGGACUUAGUGAUCCGGUGGUUCUGUAUGGAAGGGCCAUCGCUCAACGGAUAAAAGGUACUCCGGGGAUAACAGGCUGAUACCGCCCAAGAGUUCAUAUCGACGGCGGUGUUUGGCACCUCGAUGUCGGCUCAUCACAUCCUGGGGCUGUAGUCGGUCCCAAGGGUAUGGCUGUUCGCCAUUUAAAGUGGUACGCGAGCUGGGUUCAGAACGUCGUGAGACAGUUCGGUCCCUAUCUGCCAUGGGCGUUGGAGAUUUGAGAGGGGCUGCUCCUAGUACGAGAGGACCGGAGUGGACGAACCUCUGGUGUUCCGGUUGUCACGCCAGUGGCAUUGCCGGGUAGCUAUGUUCGGAAGCGAUAACCGCUGAAAGCAUCUAAGCGGGAAGCGCGCCUCAAGAUGAGAUCUCCCGGGGCACAAGCCCCCUGAAGGAACCAUAUAGACUAUGUGGUUGAUAGGUCAGGUGUGUAAGUACAGCAAUGUAUUGAGCUAACUGAUACUAAUGAUCCGUGUGGCUUGACCAUAUAACCUCAAGUUGCCUUGGCCGACAUGACAUGUCGAUAGAUCCCAAGUGCACGCUACGUCACAAGACUUACGAGAGGCAGGCGCCUUA
rnacentral:rRNA from 1 species